AGAGUUUGAUCAUGGCUCAGGAUGAACGCUAGCGGCAGGCCUAAUACAUGCAAGUCGAACGGUAAGUAGUGUAGCAAUACAUUACUGAGAGUGGCGCACGGGUGCGUAACACGUAUGCAACCUACCCUUUACAGGAGUAUAGCUCGGGGAAACUCGGAUUAACCCUUCAUAGUAUAAUUGAAUGGCAUCAUUUGGUUAUUAAAUUUGCGGAGGUAAAGGAUGGGCAUUCGUCUGAUUAGCUAGUUGGUAGUGUAACGGACUACCAAGGCGAUGAUCAGUAGGGGAACUGAGAGGUUGAUCCCCCACACUGGCACUGAGAUACGGGCCAGACUCCUACGGGAGGCAGCAGUAGGGAAUAUUGGUCAAUGGGUGAGAGCCUGAACCAGCCAUGCCGCGUGCAGGAAGACGGCCUUCUGGGUUGUAAACUGCUUUUUCCAGGGGAUAAAAUUACCUUGCGAGGUAAAUUGAAGGUACCUGGGGAAUAAGCCACGGCUAACUACGUGCCAGCAGCCGCGGUAAUACGUAGGUGGCGAGCGUUGUCCGGAUUUAUUGGGUUUAAAGGGUGCGUAGGCGGCCCUGUAAGUCAGUGCUGAAAUAUUCCGGCUUAACCGGGAGGGUGGCAUUGAUACUGCGGGGCUAGAGUACAGAUGAGGUAGGCGGAAUUGACGGUGUAGCGGUGAAAUGCUUAGAUAUCGUCAAGAACACCUAUAGCGAAGGCAGCUUACUAGGCUGUAACUGACGCUGAGGCACGAAAGUGUGGGGAUCAAACAGGAUUAGAUACCCUGGUAGUCCACACUGUAAACGUUGAUUACUCGCUGUGUGCGAUAUACAGUACGCGGCCAAGCGAAAGCGCUAAGUAAUCCACCUGGGGAGUACGCCGGCAACGGUGAAACUCAAAUGAAUUGACGGGG
rnacentral:rRNA from 1 species